ensembl:lncRNA
UUUUUUUUUUUUUUUUUUGUUGGUUGUUUGUUUUUUUUGGUUGGCUUUUGUUGUUAUGUUUGUUUUGUUUCCCCAGAAUUACAAAUAGAUUUGGAUAUUCAGAAAAUUCAUUCUCUCACUGCUCGAACUGGUGCAGUGGCAGUGACUGGGCAUGGGGGUGCCUGACAGUGCCUCAGAGGGCCAGCCAAGACCCCUCAGGGUGCCUGUGUAACUCAGAUUUACUGCCAAGUGUGUUCUACAGAGAGCACACAGGUCUGGAAACAUCACAGUGUGUCAUUCAAAAUGAUGCAGCACCAUCUGAGCGUGGCACAGCGCUGAGGCCACAUGCAGAGCUCCCAGCAGAGGCUCAGGGAGCUGGGCUGGCAGGGCUGGCUCCCCCAUGGAAAGGGCUCAGCUCCAGCAUCCUGCCAGGGCACAGCUCCCUGGGACAUGGCUGAAGUGACAGUCACUACUUGGAGCUGCUCUCCAGACUGCCAUUUAACAAGCUGUCAGGAUGACUUAAAAAUAGCACAGGAUCCAAGUGCAAAACAGAGUUCUGGUGUGCUUGUUCUGCUUUCCUUGCUGUGAUUUUAUCAGGAAUUGGCCAGCUUAAUUUAGCUUUGCUAGUUGCCAGGAAAUAGCAUAAUUUUGUUUUAAAUUUGCUUCUUGGCUGGAUUUUCCAAUCUAAUCCAGUCCCAGUUGCCCCUCGGUGACAGGCUGCAGCAGUUUGCACCACAUCCAGGCCCUGUCCCUGCUCCCACUGCUGAGGACAACGUGGCCACCAGGCAGCCCUGGUGUCCCCUGGCGCUGCCGUGCCCACAUUCAUAAAAACAAGCUAUAGUUACUGCCUACAAAAAAAGCUGACACUUUUAUAAAUGCUCAGAAGCAGAAAUCCCUCAUUACAGCGUUACCUUGUGAAGGUGUAAGCUUUUGGGUUGAGCUGGGAGGAGGUGUGAAAUAAAGGAAUGUAAAGUACCUGCAGCACUGACACUGAAACUGAGACAUCUUCCAGCUGGCUGUGACUUUAAAUUGCUUGUAAGACUGAGAUCCUCCUCCAGCUCAAGCAAGAGCUGCUUUGUCAGUUUGAAACUAAUCCAGCCAAGGUAAAUAUCAAGGUUUAACUAGCACAGAUAAAAUGAGAGUGAUCAUGCAGCUCUUCAAAAGGUAAUCCAUUACCAUGCUUAAAACUUAAUAUUCAGAAAAAACAAUAACAUGUUUUUGAAUAGGAUUUAAGAUUACUAAAAGUAGAGAGGUCAUUUGGAAAAUGUCACAGCCUUGGUGAGCAGAUCUGGGGAUGGCUGCAAGUACCCAGUAGCAUAUUAAAAGAUAAAUCUUGCAUAUUUAGAAUUCAUCAAAAUAUAGUAUGAGGAUCUCUUGGAUUUCUGGUUUAUCUGUCUCUAUCUUUCAGUUUGCCUUUUUGCAUUAUAUUUCAACAUCUUGAACUUGACUUUCUGCUUCAGAUACAAAUGAAAACUACCUCCAAGGAAUUAAAAAAAUUCUUCUAGUAAAGAAGUGAUAACUCUACUGUCUGUUUGCAGAAAGACUUCAACACAGCUAGUCCCUGGGUAGCUUCUCUUUUUACUUUCCUUUAGGUGUUCUGUUAGAAAAUGACUUCCAAUAUUUUUGAGAUCAGAUUCUCUUCUAAGGAUCCUAUUUUUAUCUUGCUUUUAUGAGAUUCCGAAGAACAUUACUUGGUCAUCAUCCAGAACUGUAUUUCUUUUCAUGUAUCAAAUUCCAUCUGUAACUGUUAUCCAACUGCACUAAGACUAUACUUUAGCUAAGGAAUCUAGAAAUAUUGCUUUGCCACCUAUUUUCCUUUUCCAGUCUUUCCAGUUCCAGUCUUUUCCAGUUCUGUAACUCAGUCUUCCUCGGUAAAAUCUAAAACUACCCCAGCCCUGGCUCAUUUCUUGUCCCAUCACACAGAUCAAACUAGUCAAAGGCUCUUUUGCAGUCAAGACACGUGAACUUGUGUUGCUGAGCUGUUAUGUAAGAAACCAAGCCUGACCUUAUUUUCCAGGGAGCACUUCCUCCACCUCCCACCUUCACAGGUGUCUGGCUCCCUGUCAGGCUCUUCAGGGACCCAGGACUUCUCAGACUGGCAGUGGUUGCCUACAUUCCCAGUUUCAAAGAUGGGAACCAAGAUGUCUUUGUGUAAGCCCCAAACAUGAUCCUGCUGCUCCGUCUGGUUCUCUGAAAUCUUACCUGCUUAAAAUCCCUCAAGGUUCAUGGAUGCUGCUCCAGGUAAGCUUCUGCUGUCCCCCCUGCUCACAGUAAUAUACCUCAAACAGCAAGCUUCUACUUGUUUUUGUAGAUUUGAAUAAAUCCCUCCCCAAAACAAUGCAAACUCUUCCUGGUUUUACUGAAAAAAAAAAAUUAAUUUACACAAGUAUGGAGGAUGCUGCUGCUUUUAGGAAGUGCCCCUUGUGCACACUGAAGAGGAAUUUGGGAGUUGUCAGACAUGGGUUUCUCUCUUCUUGUUAUCCUCACAUAACCCUUACCAAAAGAAAUAAUUAGAAAGCAAAAUUCUCCAAAUUCCAAGUAUCGAGAGGAAAUGUGGGCAAAAAAAAAAAAAAUUAAAGGUUCCAAGAAACAGAAUUUGCAUAUCAUAAAUCUGUAGGCAGCACUGCAAAUCGUAUUUCUUUCUCUUUUGAAAGCAACUUCCCUCUGCAUUCACAAUUCAGCCUAAUAAAUUUCAUAGCAACCCUGUGAAGUGCACAAAUAACAGACCUCAAUAAGUCACAGUAAGAACUCGGAGAGCCUAGGACAGAAAGAGGUCCCAAAGCUGCCUUGAAAUACCUGAUUUCUCAGGCAGUUACCACCCAGCAUUGACACUGCCUUUUCCAAUAC